CCCUGACCCCUUGAGGGUCCUAAAGGGCCGUUGGAGACCACAACGUUGAUAGGUGGGGUGUGUAAGCGCGGUGACGUGUUGAGCUAACCCAUACUAAUUACCCGUGAGGCUUAACCAUACAACACCCAAGAAGUGUUCU
rnacentral:rRNA from 1 species